rnacentral:rRNA from 1 species
GAAACUUAAAGGAAUUGACGGGACCGCACAAGCGGUGGAUGAUGUGGUUUAAUUCGAUGCAACGCGAAAACCUUACCACCUUUGACAUGUACGGAAUCCUUUAGAGAUAGAGGUAGUGCUCGAAAGAGAACCGUAACACAGGUGCUGCAUGGCUGUCGUCAGCUCGUGUCGUGAGAUGUUGGGUUAAGUCCCGCAACGAGCGCAACCCUUGUCAUUAGUUGCUACAUUCAGUUGGGCACUCUAAUGAGACUGCCGGUGACAAACCGGAGGAAGGUGGGGAUGACGUCAAGUCCUCAUGGCCCUUAUAGGUGGGGCUACACACGUCAUACAAUGGAUGGUACAAAGGGUCGCCAACCCGCGAGGGGGAGCCAAUCCCAUAAAGCCAUUCGUAGUCCGGAUCGCAGUCUGCAACUCGACUGCGUGAAGUCGGAAUCGCUAGUAAUCGUGGAUCAGAAUGUCACGGUGAAUACGUUCCCGGGUCUU